rnacentral:rRNA from 1 species
GACGAACGCUGGCGGCGUGCUUAACACAUGCAAGUCGAACGGUAAGGCCCUUCGGGGUACACGAAUGGCGAACGGGUGAGUAACACGUGGGUGAUCUGCCCUGCACUUCGGGAUAAGCCUGGGAAACUGGGUCUAAUACCGGAUAGGACCACUGCCUGCAUGGGUGGUGGGGGAGAGCUCUUGCGGUGUGGGAUGGGCCCGCGGCCUAUCAGCUUGUUGGUGGGGUGAUGGCCUACCAAGGCGACGACAGGUAGCCGGCCUGAGAGGGUGACCGGCCACACUGGGACUGAGAUACGGCCCAGACUCCUGCGGGAGGCAGCAGUGGGGAAUAUUGCACAAUGGGCGCAAGCCUGAUGCAGCGACGCCGCGUGAGGGAUGACGGCCUUCGGGUUGUAAACCUCUUUCAGCACCGACGAAGCGCAAGUGACGGUAGGUGCAGAAGAAGGACCGGCCAACUACGUGCCAGCCGCCGCCGUAA